rnacentral:rRNA from 1 species
UUUGAUUUAUCCGGGUUUCAAUUAACGGACCGGGGGGGGGUCCCCNAGCCUUUGAUCCCUGCAAUCGAGGGAAAUCGAUAGGGAGCGUUGUCCUUUAUCCCAGGGUCGAGCGGCGGACGGGUGAGUAACACGUGGGAAUCUGCCCAUUAGUGGGGGAUAACUCGGGGAAACCUCGAGCUAAUACCGCAUAAUCCCCUACGGGGGAAAAGCAGGGGAUCUUCGGACCUUGCGCUGAUGGAUGAGCCCGCGUCGGAUUAGCUUGUUGGUGGGGUAAUGGCCCACCAAGGCGACGAUCCGUAACUGGUCUGAGAGGAUGGCCAGUCACACCGGGACUGAGACACGGCCCGGACUCCUACGGGAGGCAGCAGUGGGGAAUCUUGGACAAUGGGCGCAAGCCUGAUCCAGCCAUGCCGCGUGUGUGAAGAAGGCCUUCGGGUUGUAAAGCACUUUCAGUAGGGAGGAAGGCUUCGGGUUAAUACCCUGGAGUACUUGACGUUACCUACAGAAGAAGCACCGGCUAAUUUCGUGCCAGCAGCCGCGGUAAUACGAAAGGUGCGAGCGUUAAUCGAGAAUUACAUGGGCGUAAAACAGCGCGCGUGAGGCGGUGUGUUAAGUCCCGGAUGUGAAAGCCCAGGGCUCAACCUUGGAAUUGCAUCCGAUACUGGCACGCUAGAGUGCAGUAGAGGGAGGUGGAAUUUCCGGUGUAGCGGUGAAAUGCGUAGAGAUCGGAAGGAACACCAGUGGCGAAAGGCGGCCUCCUGGACUGACACUGACGCUGAGGUGCGAAAGCGUGGGGAGCAAACAGGAUUAGAUACCCUGGGUAGUCCACGCCGUAAACGAUGUCUACUAGCCGUUGGGGUCCUAUAGUGACUUUGGUGGCGCAGCUUAAACGCGGGAUAAGUAGACCCCCUUGGGGAGUUACGGCCGGCAAGGUUAAAAUCUAAUGAAUUGAC